GCAAGUCGCGCGCGAAAGCCUUCGGGUGAGUAAAGCGGCGAACGGGUGAGUAACACGUAACCAACUUGCCCUCGAGACCGGAAUAACCUCGGGAAACCGUGGGUAAUGCCGGAUGGACAGCGAGAGAGUCAUCUCUCACGCUGUAAAUGGCUUCGGCUGCUCGGGGAGAGGGUUGCGGGCUAUUAGCUAGUUGGUGGGGGAAAGGCCCACCAAGGCGAUGAUGGCUAGCGGGUCUGAGAGGAUGAUC
rnacentral:rRNA from 1 species